rnacentral:rRNA from 1 species
AUUGAACGCUGGCGGCAGGCUUAACACAUGCAAGUCGAGCGGAGAUGAGGUGCUCGCACCUUAUCUUAGCGGCGGACGGGUGAGUAAUGCUUAGGAAUCUGCCUAUUAGUGGGGGACAACAUUCCGAAAGGAAUGCUAAUACCGCAUACGUCCUACGGGAGAAAGCAGGGGAUCUUCGGACCUUGCGCUCAUAGAUGAGCCUAAGUCGGAUUAGCUAGUUGGGGGGGUAAAGGCCUACCAAGGCGACGAUCUGUAGCGGGUCUGAGAGGAUGAUCCGUCACACUGGGACUGAGACACGGCCCGGACUCCUACGGGAGGCAGCAGUGGGGAAUAUUGGACAAUGGGGGGAACCCUGAUCCAGCCAUGCCGCGUGUGUGAAGAAGGCCUUAUGGUUGUAAAGCACUUUAAGCGAGGAGGAGGCUACUGAGACUAAUACUCUUGGAUAGUGGACGUUACUCGCAGAAUAAGCACCGGCUAACUCUGUGCCAGCCGCCGCGGUAA